rnacentral:snoRNA from 1 species
AAGACAUGAUGAGGACACGUUCUCAAAAGAUCCGUAAAUCUCUCUCAUGCAUCAUAUAAUGUUCCCAAAUCAAUUUCAGCAAAAGAAGAGAUGUCGUUCCUCAAUUU